rnacentral:misc_RNA from 1 species
GAAAUGCGAUAAGUAGUGUGAAUUGCAGAAUUCAGUGAAUCAUCGAAUCUUUGAACGCACAUUGCGCCCCUCGGUAUUCCGUGGGGCAUGCCUGUUCGAGCGUCAUCUACACCCUCAAGCUCUGCUUGGUGUUGGGCGUCUGUCCCGCCUCCGCGCGCGGACUCGCCCCAAAUGCAUUGGCAGUGGUUCCUUGCCCCCCUCUUUGCGCAGCACAUUGCCAUUCGAGGCGGCGGCGGCCCGCGUCCAACAAGCUCAACCCCCCCGUCUUUGACCUCGGAUCAGGUAGGGAUACCCGCUGAACUUAAGC